rnacentral:rRNA from 1 species
AGGAAAGCAGGGGAUCGCAAGACCUUGCGCUUUUGGAGCGGCCGAUGUCUGAUUAGCUAGUUGGUGAGGUAAAGGCUUACCAAGGCUUCGAUCAGUAGCUGGUCUGAGAGGACGACCAGCCACACUGGGACUGAGACACGGCCCAGACUCCUACGGGAGGCAGCAGUGGGGAAUUUUGGACAAUGGGGGAAACCCUGAUCCAGCCAUGCCGCGUGAGUGAAGAAGGCCUUCGGGUUGUAAAGCUCUUUCAGCCGGAACGAAAAGGUUACGGUUAAUACCCGUGACUAAUGACGGUACCGGAAGAAGAAGCACCGGCUAACUACGUGUCAGCAGCCGCGGUAAUACGUAGGGUGCGAGCGUUAAUCGGAAUUACUGGGCGUAAAGCGUGCGCAGGCGGUUUUGUAAGUCAGAUGUGAAAUCCCCGGGCUCAACCUGGGAACUGCGUUUGAAACUACAAAGCU